GCGUGCAGGAUGAAUGNCCUAUGGGUUGUAAACUGCUUUUUUCAGGGAANAAACCCCCCGAUUCAUCGGGGUUUGACGGUACCUGAAGAAUAAGCACCGGCUAACUCUGUGCCAGCAGCCGCGGUAAUACGGAGGGUGCAAGCGUUAUCCGGAUUUACUGGGUUUAAAGGGUGCGCAGGUGGAUUAUUACGUCAGUGGUGAAAGCCCGAAGCUCAACUUCGGAACUGCCAUUGAUACGAAUAGUCUUGAAUACAGUUGAGGUGGGCGGAAUGUGUAGUGUAGCGGUGAAAUGCUUAGAUAUUACACAGAACACCGAUUGCGAAAGCAGCUUGCUAAACUGUUAUUGACGCUCAGGCACGAAAGCGUGGGGAGCAAACAGGAUUAGAUGCCCUGGUAGUCCACGCCCUAAACGAUGUUCACUCGACAUUGGCAAUACACCGUCAGUGUCUAAGCGAAAGCAUUAAGUGAACCACCUGGGAAGUACGUUCGCAAGAAUGAAACUCAAAUGAAUUGACGG
rnacentral:rRNA from 1 species